GACGAACGCUGGCUGCGUGCUUAACACAUGCAAGUCGAACGCUGAAGCCAGAAGCUUGCUUCUGGUGGAUGAGUGGCGAACGGGUGAGUAACACGUGAGUAACCUGCCCCUGAUUUCGGGAUAAGCCUGGGAAACUGGGUCUAAUACCGGAUACGACCACCGAACGCAUGUUCGGUGGUGGAAAGUUUUUUCGAUCAGGGAUGGGCUCGCGGCCUAUCAGCUUGUUGGUGGGGUAAUGGCCUACCAAGGCGACGACGGGUAGCCGGCCUGAGAGGGCGACCGGCCACACUGGGACUGAGACACGGCCCAGACUCCUACGGGAGGCAGCAGUGGGGAAUAUUGCACAAUGGGGGAAACCCUGAUGCAGCGACGCAGCGUGCGGGAUGACGGCCUUCGGGUUGUAAACCGCUUUCAGCAGGGAAGAAGCGAAAGUGACGGUACCUGCAGAAGAAGUACCGGCUAACUACGUGCCAGCAGCCGCCGUAA
rnacentral:rRNA from 1 species